rnacentral:rRNA from 1 species
UACGGAGGGUGCAAGCGUUGUCCGGAUUUAUUGGGUUUAAAGGGUGCGUAGGCGGAAUUUUAAGUCAGUGGUGAAAGCCGACAGCUCAACUGUCGAACUGCCAUUGAUACUGGGAUUCUUGAAUUCAGUUGAGGUAUGCGGAGUUGAUGGUGUAGCGGUGAAAUGCAUAGAUACCAUCAGGAACACCGAUUGCGAAGGCAGCAUACUGGGCUUGAAUUGACGCUGAGGCACGAAAGUGUGGGGAUCGAACAGG